rnacentral:rRNA from 1 species
AACGAACGCUGGCGGCAGGCCUAAAACAUGCAAGUCGAACGAUCUAGCAAUAGAUAGUGGCGCACGGGUACGUAACGCGUGGGGAUAUGCCCUUCACUACGGAACAACGUCGGGAAACUGACGCUAAUACCGUAUAAUGACUCCGGUCCAAAGAUUUAUCGGUGAAGGAUUAGCCCGCGUCUGACUAGGUAGUUGGGGAGGUAAUGGCUCACAAAGCCGACGAUCACUAGCUGGUCUGAGAGGAUGAUCAGCCACACUGGGACUGAGACACGGCCCAGACUCCUACGGGAGGCAGCAGUUAGGAAUAGUGGACAAUGGGGGAAACCCUUAUCCAGCCAUGCCGCGUGGGUGAAGAAGGCCUUAGGGUUGUAAAACACUUUCGGCUGUGAAGAUAAUGACAGUAGCAGAAGAAGAAGCUCCGGCUAAAUUCGUGCCAGCCGCCGCGGUAA